AUGCGAUAAGUAGUGUGAAUUGCAGAUGUAACGUGAAUCAUCGAAUCUUUGAACGCAAAUUGCACUUCCUGGUAUUCCGGGGAGUAUGCCUGUUUGAGGGUCACCAAAUAAACAUCGAUUAACAUUGCUUUUUUUUUAAAAGUGAUGUAAUAUCGGAUUUGGGCUUGUCUUUAUUUUUUUUAAAUAAAGUGGCUUAAAAUUUAUUUUUUUUUUGGUAUCUCGAGCGUAUUUUACGAUCAUUUCGAUUAAAGAAACGCUUUGAAUUUUACCAUCCUUUUAAUGUAAUACGUUUGAACUAUGGUCUGUAAAUCAUAUCUAGUAUCAUUCGUAUACGAUUUUUUAAUUUUUUGACCUCAAAUCAGGUAAGAGUACCCGCUGAACUUAA
rnacentral:misc_RNA from 1 species